rnacentral:lncRNA from 1 species
UUCAGUUUAUGCAAAGAAAAAAGACAAGACAUUGGACAGUGAAACCCAGACCAGGCAGCCCUGGACGGUGUUUGAUAUCAAGUCAAGAGCCUCAUGCAUGGGCCAGGUCAAGAGCUUGAAUCACAUCCUGGCAAUCCUUCCAAAGCAUACAGAAGAACCUGAACAUUUCUAUGAGAAUGGAUUUAAAAGCCAAGCUCGGUGAAACUGUUAGAAGAAAACACAUGCCAGGAAAUUGGUAGUUCCACAAGAAAUUGCUAGCACAGCACUGUAUGCACUAGGGGCUUUGGGCUACUGGCAUCCCAGGCCGUCUCCUCAGCAACUGUGCCAAGUUAGAAAAGCUUAGUUUUAGGAACAAUAAACUAAAAAAAGUC